rnacentral:misc_RNA from 1 species
GGCAAGACUAAUCCACAACUAUUGGCCAUUGUAGCUACUUGAAAGCAAAAAUUGGAGGAAAUCGUAAAAUUCCAUACCCCAAAUAUUUUCACCGGUGGUUGUUUGUUGGUGUUGGCCUUCACUAGGCCACAGCCUUUGCUUGUGGCUGCAAUUUUUUAUUCCAGUUUUCGUGGGGCCUAAAAGGCAACCCCACCAAACUUCCAUAAAUCGUACGACCAAUCUCCACUUCCAACUUCUACCUCUCUUCAGCUUUGAGCUGUUAUAAGGGCAA